rnacentral:rRNA from 1 species
AGCUCCAAUAGCGUAUAUUAAAAUUGUUGCGGUUAAAAAGCUCGUAGUCGAAAAUUUUCAUUCUUUGUCAUUCGACAAUUACGACGUUUGAUAACUGAAUGAUCUGUCUGUCUAACAGAUGUAGUUACUUUGAGGAAAUUAGAGUGUUUAAAGCAAGCUAUCGUUUUGUAUAUCGUAGCAUGGAAUAACGACAUAAGACAUGUGUCAAAAUUCGUUGGUUUAUAAGACAUAUGUAAUGGUUAAUGGAAGUAGUCGGGGGCAUUCGUACUUAACUGUCAGAGGUGGAAUUCUUGGAUUUGUUAAAGACGAACAACUGCGAAAGCAUUUGCCAAGAAUGCAU